UCUGCCUACGGGACGCAGCAGUGAGGAAUAUUGGUCAAUGGGCGAGAGCCUGAACCAGCCAAGUCGCGUGAAGGAUGACGGCCCUAUGGGUUGUAAACUUCUUUUGUCAGGGAGCAAUUGAGUCCACGUGUGGGCUUAGCGUGAGUACCUGACGAAAAAGCAUCGGCUAACUCCGUGCCAGCAGCCGCGGUAAUACGGAGGAUGCGAGCAUUAUCCGUAUUUAUUGGUUUUAAAGGGUGCGUAGGCGGAAUAUCAAGUCA
rnacentral:rRNA from 1 species